rnacentral:lncRNA from 1 species
CUGCAUGAGAAGGUUGGGGAGAAGACGUUGAUCGAUAGCAGUGGAAGCCAACGGAGAGGCCAGAUGCUGCAAGCCGGCGGAUUGCAACCAGCGCGCCAUAACAGCAUCGCCGGCAUCGGUUGCAGUUCCUGCCGCUGCACCGUGUAAAGGUACAGCGCCGGCGUGGUCAUACAGAGCAGCCGCAGCAGCAUUGCUCUGGCCACCCAUAAUGGAAAGAGGGGUGAAAAUCCCUGCAUGAGAAGGUUGGGGAGAAGACGUUGAUCGAUAGCAGUGGAAGCCAACGGAGAGGCCAGAUGCUGCAAGCCGGCGGAUUGCAACCAGCGCGCCAUAACAGCAUCGCCGGCAUCGGUUGCAGUUCCUGCCGCUGCACCGUGUAAAGGUACAGCGCCGGCGUGGUCAUACAGAGCAGCCGCAGCAGCAUUGCUCUGGCCACCCAUGUGGCGCUGUGACCGUCUUUGGGGCGCCAAUUUUCAAGAUCUAUUUACACACG